AAGGCAUGGUGAUUUCUUACCUGGGGCUUCAGUAAAUGCCAGGUCUCUGGAAGCUGUUAUAUGGACAUAAAGGCAUUACUUCGCCAUUCACUAAUAUGAGUUCAAUCAGUGUGUGUGCCUCUUCAGGAAGUCCCUGUUGUGCAUUUAUUUUCCUUGGUGCCAUCAUUCCGAAAUCGGUCGUUAACCAAAUGCAGGUCUCGCUUUUAGCUCCUUUCGGGGUUUUUUUGUUUUUUGUUUUUUUAAUGUUUAUUUAUCUUUGAGUGAGAAAGGGAGCGCCUUUGAGAGCAGGGGAGGGGCAGAGAACGAGGUGGGGCAGAGGAUCCAAAGCAGGCUGCAUGCUGACAGCAGAGAGCCCGAUGCGGGGCUUGAACUCACCAACCAUCAGAUCAUGACCUGAGCCGGAGUCUCAAGCUUAACCGACUGAGCCACCCAGGUGCCCCUAGCUCAUUUCAGUUUUGUAGCAGCAUUAAAAAAAAAAAAAACAAAAACAAAAAAAAAAAAACCAGGAAAGGAAGAAUAAAGUUCUAAUGAAUAAAUGUCAACCUUCUCAAGAAGAAACUAUAGAUUAAUAAUAUAUUACUAUUUCCAAGGGAGUACAUAGAGUUCACACUGUUUCAUCUGUCAGUCUCCUGUUUUUCAGUAACUGUUUUGGCUCCACGUCUGAAGUAGGAAUCAGUCGCUAACGUUUUGCAGACUAACGUUCCCAUGAAGCCACAAAUUGGCCCUCAGAUGUGACGGGAUGGGGCACAAACCAGUCUCUGCCAGGUUACAAGCACCCCACUUCUUACUUGCCCAGGGUAGCAAAUGCCUUUGAACCACACUCCUUCCGCCUGGAAAGAGCAGUGGAGAUGUGACAACCAUCUGAUGAUUUCGAUCUGGAUAAACAGCUCCGAAGGGACAGGGCUGAAAGCAGCGGCUCUCAAAAUGUGGUCCCUGGACCGAAGGCAUCAUCACCAUCACCUGAGAACUUGCUAGAAAUGCAAAUCCUGGCUCCAGGCCAGAGCUACUGAACCUGACACUCUGGGGCCUCCAGAGCGGUGAGCGAUACAUGCCUUUUGUUUGAACCCCUCACACCCCGGCCUUUUUAUGAUAGCAUCCCAAGUGGACAAAGACAGGGACAUUAAUGGGAGAACUGGUCCACACAAAGACCUAACAAGCCAAGCCCCCUCCCGGGAAGAGCACAGCCGAAGCCUUCCCACAGAACGUGUGGCCAGCUACUUUUGAGUAGCUUGGACCAAGAUUUAUUGUCAACAGCCCAGUCGGUAACAGCUGUUUGCAUUCCUCAGCCCCUCCAUUGCCUCCUGAAUGUCAAGUCUCUUAGCUGAAAGAGCAUCCUUCAUUUGGCUAUGCCUGCUCAAAAGAAUUACUUUUGCACGGUAUGAUCUGCUCAGCUAUACCCAUCUUCCACAUGCAGCCCUCCCAAGCCGGACACGAAUACAAAAGAAACGGAAGAUUAAUUCCAGAUAGUACGUGGCUCAAGCCAAUUAACUCGGCGCACACUGGAUGGUCCCUAAUCGCUCUUCUAGCGAGCGGAGGCUCUGCGUUUCCCUUCUUACUGCCUUCUGGCCUCUCUUUGUAAAUACAUACUAGUCAGAAUUGAA